GCUGGGUUAGACGGGGCAGGGCAAACGCCGACCCCGCCGUCCCGAGGGCUUCCCCCGUCCCGCCGGGACAGGCGCCUCACCUGGUGCUCCUCCAGCUCCUCCACCAGUACCUGGGGACAGAGGGACACACAGACACACACACACAAAGGACGUGAGUCCGGCGACCGCAGCGCAGCUGCUCCGCCGCCCCGUCCCGUCCAGUCCCGUCCCGUCGCCGCCCGCCCGGCCCGGCCGGAGCGCCGGCUCCGCGCUCACCUGGGCAGAUUUCUUGCAGGGUCCGGACUGCAGGAACCGUGCGAUCAGAAAUGCCAAAUCCAGCUGUGGAUGGAACACCCCGGAAAAGGGGUGGCUCUGUGUCCCUGCGUGCUCUGAGCUCUGCCAGCAGAAGGACUGGGGGAAUGAUAUCAGUGUCAGGUCCAUCCUCAGCAUCUCUGAAUUCCAACUUUGUACCUCAGAGUGCCUGAAAUCUCCAAGUUUUAUAGCAGCAAAUUUACUACUGGGUGUAGGUGACCAAUCAGGGUUUUAGGGCCAAAUCCUGCAUUUUUGGCUUCUCCCAGAAGCCUGGGCACAAAGCAUCUGACUGCAGCUGGGAAUUCAUCACCUCUCUCCCUGGACAUGCAAAUUUUACUGGAGCUCCCUCAGCUAACUUCCUGAAUUCUUGCUCUGUUACCAGAUGCUGAUGCAGAUGUAAGAAAUAGUUUAAUUUCUCUUAGCAAUGAAAUGAAACAGAACAUGACCAGACCUCCAGAACAAGGAAAAAUGUGUUUGCUGGAGGGCAGAAAAAGCCUGGAGCUGCUGAUAACUACAAGUCAUUCUGAUGAAACCAGGAAAAGUGGAUUAAAAGGAAUGAGCUUAUGGAGCAUGAAAUAAUAUCCAAAACAACUGUGAGGAGGGAAGAGGAGUUUCUGCUCUGACCCUAGGUGAGUUCAAGGGGGUACUUUGGAUACUUGGGUGACAAAUAAUGCUAAUAAUUGUGAGUCACAUUUUGACGUCAUCAGCACAGCAUCCAGACACUGCCUCUCUCCUUCCCAUCGGUAUUUCCUUGCAAUCCCACAUUCUCUGCAGCCUCUGCUCAUGGGGAGAGCAGGGAAUAGCUGCUGCGGCUCCCUGCUCCCGGCAGCGCGGGAGGGAUGAGCCGAGAUUGAAAUCGUUUCCUACCACUGAUGUCAGGACGACUCCAACACCGGCUCCGGCUCCAUCCGCAUCACUCCUGCACCCCAUCUCUGCAAGGAAAAGUAAUCACUUGUCUUACCUCCGGGUUUAAUUAGUCCCUGCUCCGGGGCUAAUUAGGAGCGCGGUCCGCGCGGAGGUCGGGGCCGGAGCCCUCUCUCCCUCUGCCGCUCCCGUUCCCGCUCCUGCCGCCACUCCCGCUCCCAUUCCCGCUCCUGCUCCCGCUCUGUGCCAUCUGCCAUUGCCAUGACACUGCCUUUGCUUUUCACGGCUGGCUGGGCGCGCUGGAUGCGCGGGGUAAUGGGGCUAUUUUUCCCCCCUUGGUCUUUGGAAAGGAAAUAAUAAUAAACCCAGGAAUGGCUGGAACUGCUGCACACUGCCC